rnacentral:rRNA from 1 species
GACGAACGCUGGCGGCGUGCUUAACACAUGCAAGUCGAACGGAAAGGCCCUGCUUUUGUGGGGUGCUCGAGUGGCCAACGGGUGAGUAACACGUGAGUAACCUGCCCUUGACUUUGGGAUAACUUCAGGAAACUGGGGCUAAUACCGGAUAGGAGCUCCUGCUGCAUGGUGGGGGUUGGAAAGUUUCGGCGGUUGGGGAUGGACUCGCGGCUUAUCAGCUUGUUGGUGGGGGAGUGGCUUACCAAGGCUUUGACGGGUAGCCGGCCUGAGAGGGUGACCGGCCACAUUGGGACUGAGAUAGGGCCCGGGGUGCUACGGGAGGCAGGAGUGGGGAAUAUUGCACAAUGGGCGGAAGCCGGGUGGAGCAACGCCGGGUGGGGGAGGACGGCCUUCGGGUGGGAAACCGCUUUCGCCUGUGACGAAGCGUGAGUGACGGUAAUGGGGAAAGAAGCACCGGCUAACUACGU